rnacentral:rRNA from 1 species
CCAAUAGCGUAUAUUAAAGUUGUUGCAGUUAAAAAGCUCGUAGUUGAACUUCGGGGUUUACUCAUUGGUCAGGCUUAAUUGUCUGUACUGGUGAGAUGAAUCUCUACCUUCUGAGGAACUUUCAUGCCAUUUAUUUGGUGUGAUGGGAAAUCAGGACUGUUACUUUGAAAAAAUUAGAGUGUUUAAAGCAGGCUAACGUCUGAAUACAUUAGCAUGGAAUAAUGAAAUAGGACGUUUGAUUCUAUUUUGUUGGUUUCUAGGAUCGACGUAAUGAUUAAUAGGGAUAGUUGGGGGCAUUAGUAUUCAAUUGUCAGAGGUGAAAUUCUUGGAUUUAUUGAAGACUAACUACUGCGAAAGCAUUUGCCAAGGAUGUUUUCAUUAAUCAAGAACGAAAGUUAGGGGAUCGAAGACGAUCAGAUACCGUCGUAGUCUUAACCAUAAACUAUGCCGACUAGGGAUCGGAUGAUGUUAAUUUUAUAAUGACUCAUUCGGCGCCUUACG